rnacentral:tRNA from 1 species
GGGGAUUUAGCUCAGUGGUAGAGCGCUUGCCUAGCAAGCGCAAGGCCCUGGGGGUUCGGUCCCCUGCUCCCG